UACGGAGGAUCCAAGCGUUAUCCGGAAUCAUUGGGUUUAAAGGGUCCGUAGGCGGUUUAAUAAGUCAGUGGUGAAAGCCCAUCGCUCAACGGUGGAACGGCCAUUGAUACUGUUAGACUUGAAUUAUUAGGAAGUAACUAGAAUAUGUAGUGUAGCGGUGAAAUGCUUAGAGAUUACAUGGAAUACCAAUUGCGAAGGCAGGUUACUACUAAUUUAGAUUUGACGCUGAUGGACGAAAGCGUGGGUAGCGAACAGG
rnacentral:rRNA from 1 species